AGCAGACAUGGAUCCAAAGGCCUGGUCACCUCAGACUGCUUAGAAGUUGCUUUAUAUGGUGGAUUAUUAUAUACCACCUACGGAAGUUAAUCAAGAUAAGGCUUUGGUGGGCAAUAAACAGAUUCCAGAAAGACCUUACCAGGGAAGUCAGACCAGCUUGGGGACAGAAUGCCACUGCAAAAACGUUUACUGCUUGUCACUGUGCACUGUAGUCCUCAAAGCAUCCUCCGUAUCCUGAAGAUGGACAGCCUGUUGGUCACGGCUACACACAGGUGAGGGCGGAGAAAUGGGCCAUGCAAACACCUCUUCUUCCUAAGUUUCCUGAUAUCGUCAGCUCAUAUACAGGACAACCACUGGGCAGGAAGCACUGGGCAUGUCCUGCAUGA